GGAAUAACUCCGGGAAACCGGGGCUAAUGCCGGAUAAUAUUUAGAACCGCAUGGUUUAAAAGUGAAAGAUGGUUUUGCUAUCACUUAUAGAUGGACCCGCGCCGUAUUAGCUAGUUAGUGGGGUAAUGGCUUACCAAGGCAACGAUACGUAGCCGACCUGAGAGGGUGAUCGGCCACACUGGAACUGAGACACGGUCCAGACUCCUACGGGAGGCAGCAGUAGGGAAUCUUCCGCAAUGGGCGAAAGCCUGACGGAGCAACGCCGCGUGAGUGAUGAAGGUCUUCGGAUCGUAAAACUCUGUUAUUAGGGAAGAACAAAUGUGUAAGUAACUGUGCACGUCUUGACGGUACCUAAUCAGAAAGCCACGGCUAACUACGUGCCAGCAGCCGCGGUAAUACGUAGGUGGCAAGCGUUAUCCGGAAUUAUUGGGCGUAAAGCGCGCGUAGGCGGUUUCUUAAGUCUGAUGUGAAAGCCCACGGCUCAACCGUGGAGGGUCAUUGGAAACUGGGAAACUUGAGUGCAGAAGAGGAAAGUGGAAUUCCAUGUGUAGCGGUGAAAUGCGCAGAGAUAUGGAGGAACACCAGUGGCGAAGGCGGCUUUCUGGUCUGUAACUGACGCUGAUGUGCGAAAGCGUGGGGAUCAAACAGGAUUAGAUACCCU
rnacentral:rRNA from 1 species